AAACGACUCUCGGCAACGGAUAUCUCGGCUCUCGCAUCGAUGAAGAACGUAGCGAAAUGCGAUACUUGGUGUGAAUUGCAGAAUCCCGUGAACCAUCGAGUCUUUGAACGCAAGUUGCGCCCGAAGCCACUAGGCCGAGGGCACGCCUGCCUGGGCGUCACA
rnacentral:rRNA from 2 species